rnacentral:rRNA from 1 species
UACGGAGGGUGCAAGCGUUAAUCGGAAUUACUGGGCGUAAAGUGUGCGCAGGCGGCCGAGCAAGUCGAGUGUGAAAGCCCCGAGCUUAACUUGGGAACUGCGCUCGAAACUACUUGGCUGGAGUGUGGCAGAGGAAGGUGGAAUUCCACGUGUAGCGGUGAAAUGCGUAGAGAUGUGGAGGAACACCGAUGGCGAAGGCAGCCCUUCUGGGCCAACACUGACGCUCAUGCACGAAAGCGUGGGGAGCAAACAGG